AACGAACGCUGGCGGCAGGCUUAACACAUGCAAGUCGAACGCCCCGCAAGGGGAGUGGCAGACGGGUGAGUAACGCGUGGGAACAUACCCUUUCCUGCGGAAUAGCUCCGGGAAACUGGAAUUAAUACCGCAUACGCCUUACGGGGGAAAGAUUUAUCGGGGAAGGAUUGGCCCGCGUUGGAUUAGCUAGUUGGUGGGGUAAAGGCCUACCAAGGCGACGAUCCAUAGCUGGUCUGAGAGGAUGAUCAGCCACAUUGGGACUGAGACACGGCCCAAACUCCUACGGGAGGCAGCAGUGGGGAAUAUUGGACAAUGGGCGCAAGCCUGAUCCAGCCAUGCCGCGUGAGUGAUGAAGGCCUUAGGGUUGUAAAGCUCUUUCACCGAUGAAGAUAAUGACGGUAGUCGGAGAAGAAGCCCCGGCUAACUUCGUG
rnacentral:rRNA from 1 species